rnacentral:tRNA from 1 species
GCGGCCGUAGUUCAAUGGUAGAGCACCAGCUUCCCAAGCUGGGUGUUACGGGUUCGAGUCCCGCCGGCCGCUCCA